GACGAACGCUGGCGGCGUGCCUAAUACAUGCAAGUCGAACGCACAGUUUAUACCGUAGCUUGCUACACCAUAGACUGUGAGUUGCGAACGGGUGAGUUACGCGUAGCUAACCUGCCUGGUAGCGUGGGAUAACUAUUGGAAACGCUAGCUAAUACCGCAUAAUAUUGAUUAUUGCAUGAUAAUUGAUUGAAAGAUGCUAUUGCAUCACUACUAGUUGGCCCUGCGUUGUAUUAGCUAGUAGGUGAGGUAACGGCUCACCUAGGCGACGAUACAUAGCCGACCGGAGAUGGUGAGUGGCCACACUGAGACGGAGACACGGCACAGAGGGCUACGGGAGGCAGCAGGAGGGAAACGUCAGGAAUCGACGAAAGACUGACCGAGAAACGCCGAGUGAGGGAAGAAGGUUGUCGGAUCGUAGAGCUCGGUUGUAAGAGAAGAACGGGCGUGAGAGUGGAAAGUUCACAGUGUGACGGUAACUUAUCAGAAAGGGACGGCUAACUACGUG
rnacentral:rRNA from 1 species